GGGCCCGCACAAGCGGUGGAGCAUGUGGUUUAAUUCGAUGCAACGCGAAGAACCUUACCUGGUCUUGACAUCCUGCGAACUUUCUAGAGAUAGAUUGGUGCCUUCGGGAACGCAGUGACAGGUGCUGCAUGGCUGUCGUCAGCUCGUGUUGUGAAAUGUUGGUUAAGUCCCGUAACGAGCGCAACCCUUAUCCUUAUUUGCCAGCACUUCGGGUGGGAACUCUAAGGAGACUGCCGGUGACAAACCGGAGGAAGGUGGGGACGACGUCAAGUCAUCAUGGCCCUUACGACCAGGGCUACACACGUGCUACAAUGGUAAGUACAAAGGGACGCGAAGCGGCGACGUGAAGCUAA
rnacentral:rRNA from 1 species